CAAGAAGUAAUUUAAUUAAUUAGAAUAUUAAUUUUGGGUAUUAAUAGUAUAUCUCUGAUAGGAUAUUUUCUUGA
rnacentral:tRNA from 1 species